rnacentral:rRNA from 1 species
GUUUGAUCAUGGCUCAGGAUAAACGCUGGCGGCGUGCCUAAUACAUGCAAGUCGUGGGGCAGCAGGUGUAGCAAUACAUGCUGGCGACCGGCAAACGGGUGCGGAACACGUACGCAACCUUCCUUUAACUGGAGAAUAGCCCCUCGAAAGAGGGAUUAAUACUCCGUAACAUCCCGACACAGCAUUGUGAUGGGAUUAUAGCUCCGGCGGUUAAAGAUGGGCGUGCGCCUGAUUAGGUAGUUGGCGGGGUAACGGCCCACCAAGCCUGCGAUCAGUAACUGGUGUGAGAGCACGACCAGUCACACGGGCACUGAGACACGGGCCCGACUCCUACGGGAGGCAGCAGUAAGGAAUAUUGGUCAAUGGACGCAAGUCUGAACCAGCCAUGCCGCGUGGAGGAUUAAGGCCCUCUGGGUUGUAAACUCCUUUUAUCUGGGAAGAAAUGUACUUUUUCUUGAGUACUUGACGGUACCAGAGGAAUAAGCACCGGCUAACUCCGUGCCAGCAGCCGCGGUAAUAGCU